rnacentral:lncRNA from 1 species
UCUCAUCUUCCUUUUCAACUUCCAAGAAGACUGAAGCAAUCCCCACAACCAUGGAUUCUCGAAGCUCCAUCUGCUUCUCCCUGUUCAUCGCUCUGGCAAUCCUCUCUCAUUCACAGGUUUCUUCACUCACUUCUCCACUCCCCCAACAAAGUCUCGAUCCUUCUUUGUUUUUGCAAAACCCUAAACAAUCCACAAUUUCAAUCGAAAACUGCAGAAGAGGGGGUUUUCAUUGUUUCCUUUUUGCAGGUAACUGAGUCCUUUGAUCCGAGGCUCGAGUCCAUUGAUCCGAGGAUCGAGCUCCGCUUAUCGCCAUUCUCAUCCGCUCUCGUAGCUCUCCAGAAACAAAUCAAGUAAACUUCCACUUAGCCCUUCUGUAAUUCGUUCGUUCCCCUUUACUGGUUUAGUUCCCAACAUUGACGUAGUCAAUUUGUUUCCAAUUUUGGUGUCGUUGUUAGCUAUACUUUCCAGAACGAUGGGCUGCUCC